rnacentral:lncRNA from 1 species
CCACUCUCUUAGUCCUGACCCUCAUUGUUCUCCCCACACAGCCUCCUAAUUGGUCUCCUUGCCUCUAGCUUUAAGCCGCUAUUUCGUGGGUACGUUACUGCUGGGCAGAAUAUGAAAACCGGUCAUUGGAGGGCCAGAAUCACUGCAGACUUGUUUAUUCUUGGAUGUAACAGACACCAACUGAAGCUCGCAGUGACUUUUCCUUAACUGAGAACAGCAAGGACUCAGCGAGAUGGAACUCCAGGGCUGUGCCUGUUUUACACGACCCUGUUCCAUGCAUAUCUGACAGAUCCAGAGGAGAAUGAACCCAGGGUGGAUUGAUCAAGACUUCACCUCUCUAUCCACAAUCGAUCACCCCAGGAGCCAGAAGAUAAAGAGAGAUGCUUGCUGCACAACAGUGGUUCAGAAGUGUUUUAAUGAACUAAGAAGAGAUAUACAAUUUGCAAAAGAAAACAACAACAGAGCAAAAACCAUACGGAUGUCUCUCUGCUUGGGCUCUCAUCUUGCCACCUUUCUACUGAACUUAUAUUUUGCCCUCAAGUUAAGUCUUUUCAAUGAUCAUAGCUUAACUCAAUUGCUAAUUAGCUCUUGUCUCCAAAUUGUAUUGUUUUCAACUAAUCUGAAAGAUGAAGAAAAGUUGUCUCCAUACAUCUCUUCAGGUUGGUAUUCCAUGUAA